GUCCUUUAGAUUAUAAUUUAAGGUCUAAUCUGCCCACUGAAUCAAUUAAAUGGCCGCAGUAAUUUGACUGUGCAAAGGUAGCAUAAUCAUUAGUUUUUUAAUUAAAAGCUUGUAUGAAAGAUUGGACGAAAUAGAAUCUGUCUUUAAUUAAUAAAUAGAAUUUAAUUUUUAAGUUAAAAAGCUUAAAUAUUUAUAAAAGACGAGAAGACCCUAUAGAUCUUUAUUAUAAUUUAAAUUAAUUUUAUUGAAGAUUUAUAUAUUAAUUAAUUUAUUUAUAAUUUUAUUGGGGUAAUAAAAAGAUUAUAAUAAUUCUUUUAUUUUUUUUACAUUGAUAGUUGAUUUAUUUGAUCCAUUAAUAAUGAUUAUAAGAUUAAGUUACCUUAGGGAUAACAGCGUAAUUUUUUUUGAGAGUUCUUAUCGAUAAAAAAGUUUGCGACCUCGAUGUUGGAUUAAAAUAAAUUUCAGGUGCAGAAGUCUGAAUAUUUGGUCUGUUCGACCAUUAAAAUUUU
rnacentral:rRNA from 1 species